rnacentral:lncRNA from 1 species
UCCAGCAAUAUAUGUGAUAAAAAUAAAUUAAAAUAAACUCAAAUGAAAUAGAAAAUAUCUAUAAAAUUCAAUUAUAUCAGUUCUACUUUCCUCCCCCUCCAAGACUAUGCGAGCGUCCCCUAACCUCUCUGGCUACCAUGAUUAAACAUGCAUGUGAUCACCAAAUAAAUAUGGGAAGAUGAUGAAAGAGAGGAGACGACUAAAUUGGGUUUGAUGGAGUCUUUAGUGUUUGGCCCUUCUUAUUUUCCUU